AACGAACGCUGGCGGCAUGCCUAACACAUGCAAGUCGAACGCGACCUUCGGGUCUAGUGGCGCACGGGUGCGUAACGCGUGGGAACUUGCCCUUAGGUUCGGAAUAACUCCCCGAAAGGGGUGCUAAUACCGGAUAAUGUCUUCGGACCAAAGAUUUAUAGCCUUUGGAUGGGCCCGCGUUGGAUUAGCUAGUUGGUAGGGUAAAAGCCUAUCAAGGCGACGAUUCAUAGCUGGUCUGAGAGGAUGAUCAGCCACACUGGGACUGAGACACGGCCCAGACUCCUACGGGAGGCAGCAGUGUGUAAUAUUGGACAAUGGGCGAAAGCCUGAUCCAGCAAUGCCGCGUGAGUGAUGAAGGCGUUAGGGUUGGAAAGCUCUUUUACCCGAGAAGAUAGUGACGGUACCGGGAGAAUAAGCUCCGGCUAACUCCGUG
rnacentral:rRNA from 1 species